GAAAGCAAUAGAAGACAAGUUAUUUGAUGUUGUAGUUAUGGCUACAGUGUCUGAGACACCAGAGCUUAGAAAAAUUCAAGGGACUAUUGCUGAUAUGCUGGGCAUGAAAUUAGAAGAGGAGACUGAAGAAGGAAGGGCAUGUCGACUGCGUCAACGGUUAAUAAAUGAAAAGAAGAUUCUUAUAAUUUUGGAUGACAUUUGGGAACAACUUGAACCAAAGAAAGUAGGAAUUCCUUUCGGAAGUGAUCACAAAGGAUGUAAAUUAUUGCUGACCUCAAGAAGAGAAGAUUUGUUGUCUCGAGAGAUGGGUACCCAAGCGAGUUUUGAGCUUCGAGUUCUGUCAGUAGCAGAGGCAUGGAGUUUAUUUGAGACAAUGGUGGGUGACAUUGCAAAUCAGGCCUUGCGUUCUAUAGCUACUGAAGUAGCAAAAAAAUGUGCUGGCUUGCCCGUUUUAAUUGUCACAGUUGCAAGAGCUUUGAAGAAU
rnacentral:misc_RNA from 1 species